rnacentral:tRNA from 1 species
GGAGAGGUGGCAGAGUGGUCGAUUGCGGCAGUCUCGAAAACUGUUGAACCUUCACGGGUUCCGGGAGUUCGAAUCUCCCCCUCUCCGCCA